GACAAACGCUGGCGGCGUACCUAAGACAUGCAAGUCGAACGGGUGCGGCGCCCUUCGGGCGCCGGACGAGUGGCGGACGGGUGAGUAACGCGUAGGAACCUAUCGCACAGUGGGGGAGUACCACGGGGAAACCGGGUAGUUAAUACCGCAUGGGGUCGAGCGAUGACCAAAGCAGCAAUGCGCUGUGUGCGGGGCCGUGCGUCCGAUUAGCUAGUUGGGUGGGGUAAGGGCCUACCAAGGCGACGAUCGGAGCUGGUCUGAGAGGAUGGUCAGCCACACUGGGACUGAGACACGGCCCAGACUCCUACGGGAGGCAGCAG
rnacentral:rRNA from 1 species